GCUCCCUCUGUGGAGCCUGUUUCUCCUUCUGCCUGUGUCUCUGCCUCUCUCUCUCUGCGUCUCUCGUGAAUAAAUAAAUAAAAUCUUUAAAAAAAAAUUUUUUUAAAGAAAGUCUAGAAUUGAGAUCCACAGGUGAGUUGUGUUCUCUACGGAGCUGACCUGAGGCUACCCUGUACCCUUCACAUCUCCUUAAGAGGUCACGGGAUUAACAGGACACCGGUGGACACCUCGUCCUGGCACCUGUAUGUCUGCUGCAUAGGAGAAAGAUAAGGAGCAGAAUGGGUAUGUUACAGGCAAGGAGGAAAGCUGUGAGUCCAAGCCCCCAUCACACACGGGCAACAAAAGAUCUGGAGGCCCUUCUUGUGCCCUUGCCAGAGAAGUGGACCCGGGACCCAGCCUCAUCUCUCCCCACUGACCCGGGGGGCAUGAGAAGCAACUGUGGAGUGACCUUCAGAGCUGGGAAAAGGGGAAGGAGGAUUAGAAUGCCUUUUGAGUGUCUUUCUUUGGACUUUUGCAUUUAUAAUAUUUCUAUUUUUGCAAGAAUCAUUUGGCUCUUUUUUUCUCUUAGCAGAUUUUCCUUAGAGCAAUAGAGGCUUCUGCAAUAUGGAAAAAGUGACAUUUGAUCCGAAGGAGUCUGGAGGGGAGCUCUGAGUGUGGGGAACUGACCUUUUAGUAACCACCUACCCGGAGCUGCGGCCAGCGGCUGGCGGCUGGCGGCUGAAGCGCGGGCUGAACCUCCAGGAACGAUGUCUGGUGCCCUCCACAGGUCAGCUCGUGGUGGGAGUCCCGGUGCCGACCCCAAGCGGUGUGUGCGUGUGUGCGGGCCUGUGCUCGCGCCCCGCUCCCCCGCCCGGUCUCGAGAUGGCUCUGGCUAACUCUCUCCUCUCCCUCUGCUGCCAGCUGUCCCGCUUCUCUCCUCCUCUCUGCCUCUCUCCUUUCAGCGUGGCCUGGAAGCCAGAGGGAAGCAGUUGUUGCUGUUUUUCCCCAGCUCCCGCUCAAACGUGACACCCACAGAAAGGUCAAGCCCACGUGGUUCGCCGUGUCCCCUGCCUGGCCCGCCCAGGCUGUUACCAUGACGACCGCUGGGCUGGAAAUGUUCUCGGCCACCUCGACUCCGACUCCGCGUGCGCGCACAUACACACACGUUGGGUGGCUGUCCCAGGCUCUGUUCUCAGAAAAGCCACUCCAGCCAGACGUUCUGGAGUUAAAGGGCUUUUGGGAAUAUGGACAGACGGACACAGAAAAACAGAUCAAGUCAGAGGCAUACGCCAGUCCCUUUGACGGUGACCAAGAGAAACUAAGCAUAUUUAGGGACCGAGAGAAUGUGAAGAGGCAAAAAAGUGAGAUGGUGACAGGGUCUCAGUGACGGGGGACUGGGGGAUGAUGAACAAAGCACAGCAGAGUCUGAGACAGAAAGAAGAUAAAAGAGACAAAGAGAGACGUAGGGAACUCAUGACAGCACAGGGGGAGAGAAGCCCCGACUGAAGAGCAAGAGCGAUGGAGGGAGCCUGAGGGAGGAAGAGAGGGAAGAGGGGACAGGUGGGAGAGGAGUCAGCCCGCACUGCCCCGCUCCCAUCUCAGUAAAGUGCCUUGUCUUGAGCUGAGGUGGGAUCCAGUAUUUUGUCUCAUCUCUCACCUGAGACCUUAGGUGGGUUUCAGUUGAUUUGCUGACCAGGCUCUUCCACUGGCUGGAUAACAUCUGCCAUCCAUUUGCCUUGCCCUAAUCUAACAAUGGUAAAACUGAACUCCACGCCAACACACCCCAGCACACACCCCCUCUUUCCCAUAGGGAGGCCCAUCUCACCCCAGACUCACCAUAAAUACUGGCAGCUCCGCCUCCCUUUCUCCCAGGUGAUGAGAUGGGUAUCAGAGCACUGAGCAGGGAUGGUAAGAAGUGAGGCAAAAUCAGGGAGUCGUGUGACCAUCAGAGGUAAUGUAGCCUCAUAGCAGGAGGUAACUAACAUGAAGGAAGACAGAAGGGACGGCUGGAAAGACAGUGAGUAUGACUCAGGAAUGCAAGGUAAGAGAGAGAGAGGAACAGGAGCGAGAGAGAAGGGUUUCAGAGCUCUGAACAAGGCCAGAGGAGUGGUAACUGGAGUGGCACACCAACUUGGACGGGGAAUCCUGCCUCUAAUGUUAGUGCAUUGAUUUCCCAUCUUCCAAAGUGUCUCCAAGGCUUUGACUGAGGUCUCUCAGGGUCUUUGAGUUCUCAGUCUUUCUUAGCCUUUUCUUCUUAAGAAAUAAUAGGCCAUCAGCAGAGGAAACUUGGAGCCCAUCCAUCCUUCAACCAUUUCUGGCCUUGAUUAUAGUAGAGUGAACAAUGCAGCCAGUGGCCCUAAUGUCAUCAUGUACCAAGCUCACAUGUGGGUGUAGAACAGAACAGGUGGCAGCUUGGAGAGUCCAGUGCCCAUGCACCUCAGCCCAGACAGCCCUUGAGGUUGCUCAGCCCAGAAGGGAGACUUCAACCCAAAAGAGCUGUGGGUGGACUUCAGAAAAGAUUAUGCAGAAUUAGCUGACCUGGAGAUUUCACUGGGUCACAGAGGCUAGAACAUGAAAAUCAAAGGUCCCAUGCUGUCUCUGGAAGAUAGGUCCUGGACCAAGUGGGAAAGGGACCAGGGCAGAUGCUGUUGAUGCCUUGCCCCACACCCCUUUGUCCCACCUCUUUGUCUGGCUGCAGCUGUGAUGGACAGUUCCUGUGCCUGCUCACAGCCUCCCAUCUAUGUUAAAAUGAUUUAUAAGAAAUGCAUACUUGGUCAUUUAGAUGACCAAAUAUAUUUCUCAGAUAUAUUUGGUGUUCAUCCACAGUUUAUGAAAACACUUCAGAGCCAGAAAGGUGAAAUAGAUGUCUUGUUAUUACUGAAGGUGACUUAUGGACCCCCCCAAAAAAAGGCAGGUGCUGGUCGCCAGAAGGAACAACUUAUGUGAGUAGAGGCUGGGAACCUCCAGGGAUGGGGGAAGAGCUAUAGGCUGAACCAGCCCAUGGCCAGUGACUCAGUCAUGACUAUGCAAUAAAGCCUCCAUAAUAACCCAAAAUGACUAGGUUGGGAGAGCUUUGGAGUUGGUGAACACACAGAGUUUGUGGAGAGUGGUGUGCCUGGAGAGGGCAUGGAAGCUCACCUAUGUAUCCCUUCAUCCGACUGUUGAUUUCUGUCCUUUAACACGUCCUUUAAUAAACUGAUAAAUGUUGUGUUUCCCUGAGUUCUGUGCGCUGCUCUAGCAGAUUAACUGAACUUAAGGAGGAGGUGGUUGGAACCUCCAAUCUGUAGCCAGUUGGUCAGAAGCACAGGUAACAGCCCGGGGCUUGCAGUGGGCAUCUGAAGUGGCAGUUAGGGGACAGUCUUGUAAGACUGAACCUUUACCCUGCAGAAUCUGAUACAAUCUCUGGGUAGAUAGUGAUAGAAUUGGGCUGGAUUCUUGGACCUCCUGCUGGUGUAUGAGAAUUGCUUGGUGGUGUGCGUAGGAGAACUUCCCUCUGAUUGUUGGUCAAUUUGUAUUGCCUUGAUCUUUCUUCAAAUGAGAUGAUCUUCUGAGCCUCCUCACUCUGGACCCCUCCUCCAGCGAGCACUAGCAGAACAGACCCUUGCUUGAAUCUUCAGCCUGUGAUGGUUUCCUGCUUUCCCUUUGGGAUAGAGGGAUUUUGCUUCCAUUCUUCCUCACUGAAUGGAUCUUUGCCAGUAUUAAAGAAAAGGCAAGAACGUUUUUACUCCUUACCCAGAAGCAGGUGAGUUUGGCUUUUAUCACUCCCCCUCCCCCCCAAGCAAGACUCUGUUGCCCCUUCCUCAGUGGCUUAAGGCUUUUGCUAAGAAGAGAGGAUUGUGGAAGCAGCUGAGGCCUUUUGUCUUCUCCCCAGCAGCUGCCUUAUCUACUCCGCAUGCUCGCACCACUUAGGAGGAAAGCUGCCUCCCAUGUCCUGCCCUGCUCCCACUUUUCCUCAGAACUACAGGAGAGGCCUCUGGAAGAAAGCUUACCUGUGAGUAGAAACUCUCCUGUGUCUGGAGUAGUCUCCAAGCUAUUCUAAAUUGACACGCUAGCGCAUGUGUAGCCUUUUAGGCUCUGUUAAAAUUUUUGUUGGUUUCCUCUUACUCACUUGUAGGACAGUCACCUCCUUCUUCCAUGCUCUGUUAAAGUUGAAACUGUUCAUGUGUGUCCCUCUCUCUCCUUGAAGAGGCUUUAUUUCAGGACGCCUGGGUGGCUCAAGUGGUUGAGCAUCUGCCUUUGGCUCAGGGCAUGAUCCCGCAGUCCUGGGAUU